rnacentral:lncRNA from 1 species
UUUGCAUUUUACAAAUAUAUAGAAGAUACUUAAGAAUUAAAGUACAACUUAAUCUGCAAUAACUAAUUCAUUAUAACUCUUUAAUAUGAAUUUGGAUACCCUGUUAAGCCUGCACAGAUCAUAAGAAGAAUUUCAAAUUCUUUGGCACCGUCCCUUGAUGAUCUUUGCUGGCUGGACACAGAAUCUAUAAUCUUAGAAAUAUGUUUUAAAAAUAUAUUUUCAAUAAUUAAGGAGCUUGACUCAUCUGCAUUAAGUACAAGUAGGGACUCCCCUUUAAGCACCGACUCUUGGUGCUUUCUGCAGAUAAGUCAUAUUAAAUAUCCUUUAUUAAAUAAACUUUGUUAUUUGCAGUAUACCUCAUAGUCAAAUGUGGGAGUGCUUAAUUGCUUUGUUUUUUAUUGGGUUCUUUUUUGUAUUUUUUUGUAUUUUUAUAUAUUGACAUUUCUCCGCACAAACUACUAAUGCCUCAUGUUUGUCUUCUCAAAGUGAAGAUACACUUACCGGGUGCACUUGAGUCAUUUUCAACAUAGUAUUCAUUGAAUAAUAAUACAUUGCUACUAUUUCGUUGAGUGUAUUUUCUGUGUUAUAUUAUUUUAUUUUAUUAUUUUUAUAACACUUGUUACAUAUCUUUACUGUGUGUGUAUUGCAUAUGUUAUUGUUUAUAAUAAUAUUGUCUGUAUCAUAUGCCCUCCUGGGGCCCUAAUUUGGUAAAUAAAAUAUUCUAUUCUAUUCUAUUCUAUAGUCAUAGUUUUGCACCCAACUAAAAUACCCCAAGUUUGAACAUCUUAUUUGAUUUCAGGACCACCAUACUCAAAUGUGAAAUACUUUGAUAUAUUUCGUAACUUUUUACCUUAAAGAAUCCUGGUCCUGAGUAGAUUUAGAAGUUGUCGUCAGCAAAAGAUUAAAACACCGUUCAUUGCGGGCUUCCGUUGUCGUUGAUUUCU